AGAAAUGUAGUGCAGGAGAGGAGUACACAGGUGGCACUGACAGAGAAGGAAAUUCAUUGGCUGUAAGAUUUCCCCGGAAAAAACUUGUGGAAGGUAGCUCUGAAACAGCGGUUCUGAAUGUGGCAGAUACGGCCAGUAGGAACUGACGGCUUGUCCCGUUAUAGACAAAAUGAGGAACAUGGCAGUUAUGCUGUGUUUGAAAAAAGGUGGUACCACGGCUGUUAGGUCGUCCUUUAU
rnacentral:ncRNA from 1 species